GUCGAACGAUGAAGCCCUUCGGGGUGGAUUAGUGGCGAACGGGUGAGUAACACGUGGGCAAUCUGCCCUUCACUCUGGGACAAGCCCUGGAAACGGGGUCUAAUACCGGAUAACACUCUGUCCCGCAUGGGACGGGGUUGAAAGCUCCGGCGGUGAAGGAUGAGCCCGCGGCCUAUCAGCUUGUUGGUGGGGUAAUGGCCUACCAAGGCGACGACGGGUAGCCGGCCUGAGAGGGCGACCGGCCACACUGGGACUGAGACACGGCCCAGACUAAUACGGGAGGCAGCAGUGGGGAAUAUUGCACAAUGGGCGAAAGCCUGAUGCAGCGACGCCGCGUGAGGGAUGACGGCCUUCGGGUUGUAAACCUCUUUCAGCAGGGAAGAAGCGAAAGUGACGGUACCUGCAGAAGAAGCGCCGGCUAACUACGUGCCAGCAGCCGCGGUAAUACGUAGGGCGCAAGCGUUGUCCGGAAUUAUUGGGCGUAAAGAGCUCGUAGGCGGCUUGUCACGUCGGAUGUGAAAGCCCGGGGCUUAACCCCGGGUCUGCAUUCGAUACGGGCUAGCUAGAGUGUGGUAGGGGAGAUCGGAAUUCCUGGUGUAGCGGUGAAAUGCGCAGAUAUCAGGAGGAACACCGGUGGCGAAGGCGGAUCUCUGGGCCAUUACUGACGCUGAGGAGCGAAAGCGUGGGGAGCGAACAGGAUUAGAUACCCUGGUAGUCCACGCCGUAAACGUUGGGAACUAGGUGUUGGCGACAUUCCACGUCGUCGGUGCCGCAGCUAACGCAUUAAGUUCCCGCCUGGGGAGUACGGCCGCAAGGCUAAACUCAAAGGAUUGACGGGGCCCGCACAAGCAGCGGAGCAUGUGGCUUAAUUCGACGCAACGCGAAGAACCUUACCAAGGCUUGACAUA
rnacentral:rRNA from 1 species